AGUGAACGCUAGCGGUAGGCCUAACACAUGCAAGUCGAACGGCAGCACAGUAAGAGCUUGCUCUUACGGGUGGCGAGUGGCGGACGGGGGAGGAAAACUUCGGAAUCUACUUUUUCGUGGGGGAUAACGGAGGGAAACUUACGCUAAUACCGCAUACGACCUACGGGUUAAAGCAGGAGAUCUUCGGACCUUGCGCGAUUGUAUGAGCCGGUGUCGGAUUAGCUAGUUGGCGGGGUAAAGGCCCACCAAGGCGACGAUCCGUAGCUGGUCUGAGAGGAUGAUCAGCCACACUGGAACUGAGACACGGUCCAGACUCCUACGGGAGGCAGCAGUGGGGAAUAUUGGACAAUGGGCGCAAGCCUGAUCCAGCCAUACCGCGUGGGUGAAGAAGGCCUUCGGGUUGUAAAGCCCUUUUGUUUGGAAAGAAAAGCAGCAGGUUAAUACCCCGCUGUUCUGACGGUACCCAAAGAAUAAGCACCGGCUAACUUCGUG
rnacentral:rRNA from 1 species